ensembl:lncRNA CCDC26 CCDC26 long non-coding RNA
UGGAUAGACUUCCCAAAGAAGGUGAUGCCGAAGCUGAGGUCGGAAAUUACGAAGAUCAGCUAUGCCUUUUAAAGGACCAUGGGCUGUUUGAGGGGCCAACAUCAUUAACUGGAAGGCCUGAGGAGAGAAGACACAUAGUCAUGCUGACUAAACCAGAUCACCUAGAAUUACCAAAUGGAAAGAUUGUGCCUGCAGCCUGGCCUGUUGCCCACAGCGGUCUACCUGCCACACUGGGAAAGAUCGAGCAGAGACAGAGAAGAAAAGGAGGCUCCAUUUUUCAGGCUGCUCUCCCGCAGGCUCAUGUUUUGUGUUCAUGCCAGGCAGAGAACACAAAAUGUUCCAAUAAAUAAGUAUCAAAGAGAAACAUCAUCAGUGGUGUAGAAGAGCUCAGGGAAGCAAGGAGGGCUGCUGUGAAUGACACCAUGAAUUUCUGAAUGUGAUGUCCCUUCAAUUCAUGAGGAAUGAAGCAACGAUAUCUCCUAAAACACCAGGUACAGGAAGCAGAUUGUGGGGAAAAUGGAUGCCAAGAAGCCUUAAUUAACAUUUGUUAAGAACUAGAAGAUGCAUCCCACUCUUUACUUUUUAUUCCUAAUUCUCAUCCAUAACUGAAAAGGUUAACAUUUCAAAUGGGAUUACAGAAUAGUGAUGUCACUUUCCUAUAUUCAUAUACCAAGUCAAUGUUUAAAAAUAGCUUAUGUUCAGGAGAAUGGCGUGAACCCGGGAGGUGGAGCUUGCAGUGAGCUGAGAUCGCACCACUGCACUCCAGCCUGGGCGACAGAGCGAGACUCCAUCUCAAAAAAAAAAAAAAAAAAAAAA